GUCUUUAGAAAGUCUUUAUUACAAUGAUUUUCAAAGUGUUUGGCCAUGACUCAUAGCAAGAAAUGGAUUUUCACUUGUGACCCAGUAACCGCAUGGGUGAAACAGUUUUUAUAAAACAUGAUGUAACUUUACUAUGUAUGAUGCACUCUUAUAUCUUCUAUUCUACUUCUUUCUUAAUGUAUUCCAUUUCUCUUUUUUGAGAUGAUUAAUUGAAUUUUUAUCCAAAACAACUGGCUUCAAUUGAAAAUUAUUAGUAGCAGAUUUGGGAGCAAGUAAACAGAAAUGGAAAGCCUUAGUAUUUGGCUUAAUUAUUCUAAAAGCACACUGAUCACACAAAUUAAAAUUCACUUAGUCAUACAGUUGUGAGCACUUUUGACAGCCAAAAUUUCACCCUUCUUAAAGUAGGAGUCUUUCAAAAAUACUUCUUCAUAUUCAAAAGCUAAAAGUUAGAGUGAAGAUGGCCCAAUUAUCUCGGUGUGGGAGAGGUUACAUAAUAAUCUAUUUCCAAAACCCACAAAAACCCGUAAAUGUCACCAACAAAAACAAAGCAGCAGAUUGGCCAAAACUAAGGCAACUGGUUAUACAGGAAGGCAGCAGGUCACUCAUUUAACUGCUAAAAGCCAUUGCUUUGUAGUACUAAUGUUAAUUCCUUUCCACACUUCAGGAACCCACAUCCCAGCCAUUGCAGGGUCAGUUUCUGUGUAUUUAGCUCUGUGGAAUGUGCCCGAACACCAGUCAGCACUUAAGUCAAUCUAAGUUUGAAAAUCAGCUCACUGGCUUCAUGAUAUAAUUUGUACAUUCUUCCUUAGCUUCAGGGGCACAUGCCUGACCCUGGUCCAAUAGAUCCAGAAUGGUUACAAGGAUAUCUUGACUUAUAAGAGAUGCCACAUAAGAAUUUUGACAAUUCAGUCUUGAAGUCUGCUCACUUUGACCCAAACUUUUUAAGCCAGUGACAUGCAGAGGGUCCACUGGGGCUGGAUGAAAUUUCUAUGGACAGAGAUGUCACAGAGCUGGGAAGGAGAGAAAUAGCUCUCCAGUCAAUGUGACUGAGAAAAAUUAGUCAUAUCACUCUGAAACAUGUGAACUUGAGGGUUAAGGAUGCUGGCAUGCAGGGAAGUCAUGUGUGCAGCAGAAGAGCUGCAGGAUGUCUUCUCUUUUGUGUUAAUGUGAGAUUACUGAGGACAAGAGAAUAGGUCCUGGGAGAUGUGGGUGUAUUUGCCAAUUUCUCACCACACAUAGCCUCCUCAAAAAGCCCCCAAAGAUGGCCAGGUGCAGUGGCUCAUGCCUGUAAUCCCAGCAACUUGGGAGGCAGAGGUGGGUGGAGCACCUGAGGUCAGGAGUUUGAGACCAGCCUGGCCAACAUGGUGAAACCCCG
rnacentral:lncRNA from 10 species